UUUCAUUUUCCCUCUCUUUAUUUCUCGAAAAUGCAACCUCGUUUUAAGCGGUUUUCAUUAUUCUUUUUUUAUUAUUAUAAUUUUAGUUCUUUUUCUUUUACUAAAAUGCUGAACACAUGUGCUCAUAUUUCUAAAACAUCGAAGCUCUACAGAGUGGGGACUCUGAGAUAAACCCUAAAAAUCUCAAUAGAUCUAUUAGAAAUCGGAACGAUUUAUCUUUGCAAAACAGAGAAAGGAAGCUCUCGAGUCUGAUGUUCAAAGGCCAGAAUAAGGCAAAGGAAUCUCUGAACUCUAAUGCUUAAAGUUUUAACUGUGUUCCUUCUUCAACUUUCUUUGUCAGUAGCCUGAAUCGGAAGGAAGAGAACCCAGAGCCAGAUCUUUCCUUCUUUCUUGAUUUUCAACCUUUUUGAGGUAUAUCUAAUUUCUUGUCUUGUGAAUGAUUGUUUGUUGAAAUUUUUGUAUAUAUUUUUGAAGUUAGGAUUUUGAAUUUAUAUAUGUGUUGAAAGUUUCUGGAGAUGAUUUUCAAUCUUCUAAUUUAUGUCUCUCUCUUGUAGUUAGGGUUUGGAAUUUUAUAUCCCUGUUGAUGUGAGUGUAUAUUUUUGUGUAGGUAUAUAUGUGUUUUUCUCUCUUUUUUAUUGUGUUGGUUAUCUGCUUGUCCAUUCUAUUAUUUGUGUUUGUGCCAAUGUUGCUCUAUUUUUUAAGGAAAAGAUUAGUGUUUGUUCCAUUAAUUUGCUCGUGCGUCCAUGAGUAAUUUAAAUUUCCUGUAUACGGAAUCCAAUUUGACAAAACAGAAAAUAUGGAUUUGAAAUGACUGAGACUACAAGUUUGGAUUUAAAAAAAUAUUUGAGAAAAGAAAUUUUAGUUUGGCUGCAAUGAACGACAAUAAAGCUCCAACCAUUUGAGUGAACUUGGAAAUUAAGGAGUAAAUUCUAAGAAUGCAGAAUUAACGACAGAAUAUUUUAUUGCAGAAAUGCAUUAAACUUUUUAAUAAGAUAACAAAUGUAACCCUACGGUAAAGGGAGGAUGAUGAGCUUAUUCAGUUGAUAAUGUUUACAUUGUUGUGCACAAGUUUGAAAAUCUUAAGAUAAUAAGAAAGAGAUAACAAAAGUAAAAUAUAAUCAGUAGGAGAUCUAGGUGGACUGUGCUCCUUGCUACUUCACUUCCAUAAACAUAGAUAAAUAUUUUUUUAAAAAUGUAUUUGCAGUAUCAAUGUGUCAUGCUUAACCGAGUUGAUUUCUUGAUACAUGUUCGAUGAAUCAACUACAGGCGAAAUGUCAUCAACAAAACAUUUCCAUUUCAUGCGACAUGCCUCAUAAGAUGCAAAGCAAGUGGAUGCAAUAGUGGGAAUUGGUUGAGUCAUUAGCAGUGCAUUACAGUUUUCUCAUGUGCAUAAGGUGUCCAAUGUGUUCUCGUUUUGUACUGUUUGUUCUCUCUACCUCUUUUACUUCUUUUCUAUUUCAACUUAAGUUUGUUGUAACUUCUUCAACAGGGAUAAGGUAAUAUGGGGUUUAGGAUAUACUUUCUUUAGAAAUUUUUUCCGAUUAUCUUCUUCUAAAGAAAGAUGACCAUUACAUUCUUUGCGCAUCUACAGCAACGUGCAGAGUGUCAACCAUGUUAUUUUUUGCUGCAUUGAGAAUGUCCUCUUGGUUAGUUUGGAUGCCAUGGUACUGUCAUAGACACUUAACUAACUUUCCUGCCUUUUAUCUUCCUUGUGCAUUGUUAUGGUAGCUACUGCCUCAUGUUAUUUUUUUCCAGAAAUUUGAAUGUGUAACCAUUUGGAAAUUGUAAACCUAGAGUUUUUAGAAUACCUACUGGAGCGUUAGCUAUUGUCUUUUCUUAUAUCUGCUAAACGCUGUUAUUAUUGGAAAAAAUUGUGCCUCUAUUUUCAGUUUAUAACAUGUCUGAGCUGCAGAAUUAUGUUCUCAUUUUAGAUUAGUAUAGAGUUUCUUUCACCCAAAUUGUCCACAUACAAAUUCUAGGUUCUACUAUUUGAAUGAUACUCGAGAGGCUUUGUCCAGUCGCGCACUAGCAGGUUUGCCUUUCCGAAUUUUUGGAAAUUUUGGGGUUGUGGAUGUUCUCUAACCUUGUUUCUCUAUGCUCUUCCUGCUUUUAGAUAUCCCUUGUUCUUCCUUUUUGCGUUCUGUCCAACGGUACGCUUCUAGAUUUCUCUUUUGUAAUUAAUCUAUUAUCUUAGCUUAAUCGAGCCAAUGAUUUACUUUGUAGCAAUCAAAGAAAAUUUUGAGGCUGAUAAGAAACAAGUAGACCAAAAAUGUGGUACUGAUUCUGCAAGUUAAGACUAUCAAUCUUUAGAGGUUGAGACUUUCUACUCCAAUAAGCUCUUCUUGUCUCUUGUUUGCUUUAUGUACUGAUCAAUAUAUUUGUUUCAUUUACGAGACUAUUUUAUCUCGUUAUUUACUUGUUAUGGGGUUAUUUAUUUCUUUUAUUCAAUAGGGAUAUCCGUUGUGACUUGCAUUUUGCAUAUACAAUUGAAAUCCAGUAGAAACUAGAGGCUGGAAAAUGCCUCACUUUCAAAUGGCCUUUCUUUUCUUUUUUUGCUGAUCUGGAUAGUUCUUCCUACAGAGGACUCUUUUUCUUGAUGUCACAACUAUAGUUUCUACCUUUAUGUUUUUUUUUGUUCUGGUUGGGCAUUCAACUUUGUUGAAGUUUCAAUUUUGGAUUGUUAGUAGUUCAACAUUUAGAUCAUUACAUUUUGAAGUGAAAAGGUAAAUUAUAUUGAGAAAUGGAGUUUCUUGUUGGUACCUUUUUAGGUGAAAAACCUUGAACCAUUACAGGUGAAUGACUUAUGCUUUGGUGGAUUUAUACAUCUAGCAUUCUUUCAUAAUGAAUUUGUUUUGCUACUCCAGAAAAAUAUUGGUUGGAUGAGUACUUAAACUAUAAUCCUAUUCUAUAAGAGCAAUGGUUAUCCAGAACCUUACUGAUUUGUAUUUUAGCAUUCAACUUUGUGAUUUUUAGUCAAUUCUAUGUAACCAAAUUUGAUAAGAUUAUUUUGAUGAUUUUGCAGUUGAAGCAAUUAAACAAAUGGUAGAUAAAAGCAGUGAAGAUCUACUUAAGAGUAUUGAAUGAAAGUUGCUAGACCUUUAGAUAUUCUAGAAAUCCUUUAUUAUCGAACUUUUGCAAACUUAUGUAUGGUAACUCUUGAAUUGUCAAACGAUAUUGUAUAUUUUGUUUUCACAUAUGGUAAUACUAGUUGGAUGUUUAGAAUUAUAAUUUCAUUCUUAUAUAGGCAAAUUAUUAUUGUAAUAGACCACCGGAAAGUUGCAAUAGCC
rnacentral:lncRNA from 1 species